rnacentral:lncRNA from 1 species
UGGACGCCGGGAAUAAGAAAAUUUAGUCUGCUCUUAUGGAGGGGAAAGUUAUUCUUCUUUGCCUUAUGGUGCUUGUGCAGCUAGGAAACUCCAUUGAUGGUAAGGAAUCAAUCUCCCUGUCCAUGUAUGUUUACUUUAUCCUGUAAACAGGAGUAGAGUAAUAAUAUUGCCAGUGAAAUUGAACGAAUUUAUCUAUAAUUUUCUCAGUAUGGACUUCUUUUAAUGAUGUGCAUUCUUGUCUACAGAUCAUUGCGAGAUGCGAACUAUUCUUUCAAGUCCUAAGUGCACCGGCUCAACUUGCCAGACGGCCUGCCAAAAAAUUUGGGGACCAGACGUCAAGAGAGCUGACUGUAGGGUUGUCGACCAUCACAAGUAUUGUGACUGCAUCAUCUGUUACUAGAGUUGCACUAAACGGAAAAUGUUAGGAUCCAAUAAUAAAAUCUUUGUGUGACAUGCAUUCAAGGUCGUAUAUUGAUCACCAAUUUUGGAUGUUCU